rnacentral:rRNA from 1 species
GACGAACUGUGCGAACGUUAUUCGGAAUCACUGGGCUUACAGGGUGCGUAGGCGGCUUGUUAAGUAGGGUGUGAAAUCCCCCGGCCCAACCGGGGAAUGGCGCUCUAAACUAGCAGGCUUGAGUGAGCUAGGGGGUACACGGAACUUCCAGUGGAGCGGUGAAAUGUGUUGAUAUUGGAAGGAACACCGGAGGCGAAAGCGGUGUACUGGGGCUCGAACUGACGCUGAGGCACGAAAGCCAGGGGAGCGAACGGG